AAGUCGUAACAAGGUCUCCGUUGGUGAACCAGCGGAGGGAUCAUUACCGAGUUUACAACUCCCAAACCCCUGUGAACAUACCUAUCGUUGCUUCGGCGGGACCGCCCCGGGCCUUCGUGCUCGGAACCAGGCGCCCGCCGGGGACCACAAACUCUUGUAUUUUUUGGAAUCUUCUGAGUGAAAAAACAAAUGAAUCAAAACUUUCAACAACGGAUCUCUUGGUUCUG
rnacentral:misc_RNA from 1 species